rnacentral:rRNA from 1 species
GAUGCACGCUAGCGGGAGGCUUAACACAUGCAAGUCGAGGGGCAACAGGAGUAGCAAUACUUGCUGGCGACCGGCGCACGGGUGAGUAACGCGUAUGCAACCUACCCAUAACAGGGGGAUAGCUUCCGGAAACGGCAAUUAAUACCCCAUAGGAUUCUCAGGCCGCAUGGUCAAUGGACUAAAACUACGGUGGUUCUGGAUGGGCAUGCGUGCCCUUAGCUAGUGGGCGGGGUAACGGCCCACCAUGGCGACGAUGGCUAGGGGGUCUAAAAGGAUGAUCCCCCAAAAUGGUAAUGAGACACUGACCAGACUCCUACGGGAGGCAGGAUGGAGGAAUAUUGGUCAAUGGGCGAGAGCCUGAACCAGCCAUCCCGCGUGCAGGAAGACGGCCCUAUGGGUUGUAAACUGCUUUUUUAUGGGAAGAAAAAGCUCUACGUGUAGGGCACUGACGGUACCAUAUGAAUAAGCAUCGGCUAACUCCGUGCCAGCCGCCGCGGUAAUAC